UACGGGGGGUGCGAGCGUUGUCCGGAAUCACUGGGCGUAAAGGGCGCGUAGGUGGUUUGAUAAGGGUGUGGUGAAAGUCCGGAGCUCAACUCCGGAUCUGCCGUGCCGACUGUCAAACUCGAGGGCUGUAGAGGCAGACGGAAUUCCGGGUGUAGCGGUGGAAUGCGUAGAGAUCCGGAGGAACACCGGUGGCGAAGGCGGCUACCUGGACAGAAACUGACGCUGAGGCGCGAAAGCUAGGGGAGCAAACAGG
rnacentral:rRNA from 1 species